GGAAUCUUCCACAAUGGGCGAAAGCCUGAUGGAGCAACGCCGCGUGUGUGAUGAAGGGUUCCGGCUCGUAAAACACUGUUGUAAGAGAAGAAUGACAUUGAGAGUAACUGUUCAAUGUGUGACGGUAUCUUACCAGAAAGGAACGGCUAAAUACGNGCCAG
rnacentral:rRNA from 1 species